GACAUUAUUUCCAUGUAUGUGUGCUCAAGAUGUGUGUAUGUGUGCUCCUAAAUGUAUACAUUAAGCUGACGUGAGAUUGUUUUAUGAUCAGCAUUGCUUCGGCUUGACAAGGGAACUCAUAUACCAUACAACCUAUAUAUAUAUAAAGGUGUAACACAUUAUUCUUGCCAUUGACUCUAUCUCAUACUCUCUCACGUCCAACAACUGUUUGGCUGGAUUACUGGAGUCACAUGCCACCUUAGUUCAAAGAGGGGUCGGGGAGAGUUUGGCAUGUGGCUGGCAGUGCCGAGGAAUGUCUAUUCGCACAGUUUGCCCCCCGAGAGCAACCGCCCGUGGGCCGAACGCUAUGCCUACAAUCUGAAAUAGCCAGCACAGUACUUCCCCUGUCUGCUUUCAAGGCGUAUGAUGGCCUAAUUAUUGUUCAGUGAUGUUUUUUCACUCGCUGAAUGAGACUAGGAUAGUUUCCCUCGCAGGAUCAUUUGUUGUUGUUGUCCCAGAAUUACACUAGACAAGACCCAAUUUGAUCUGCUCCCUUUUCAGCUGCCUAUACAGAUGACUGUCUGAGGUUCAAUUUGGUAGACUUCCUAGACCACUGAGGAGGAAAAGCUGAACUGAAACUGGGAUAAAAACUGGGUUAAAUACAGUCGUUUUUGCAUUGGCAGAAGGGGCCACCUGUUGCUGGGAUUGGGUGGCCUUUGUUCCAGGGUCAUCCUGACCUGGGACUUUCACAAUGCAGUCCUACCCAGGGAGUUCCUCUCCUCACCGACGGGCUGGGAACGCCGCAGAGCGCACAUCGGACACUCUCCUGGGAACGGCCAAUCCAGUGAACAUGUCAGCUGCCAGCUUAGCUGGAAAUAACAGACUUGCAAGCUGCACAUAAGUCGAAGAUCCAGAGAGGAUCCAACCUAGCAACUGGGUUUCAGAGUUGACAAAAUACCUGCUUUCAUCUCAACAAUUCAAAAGGAAAAGAUGCAUUUUGUGUGUAACAUGAUUCACCACAUCUGUGAUCUGUUGUCAUAAUAAAUUCAUGAUAUUCUGACAAAUACAGCUAUUUGGAAUAUUGAAACCAUUAAAAAGUCA
ensembl:lncRNA